rnacentral:rRNA from 1 species
AUUGAACGCUGGCGGCAGGCUUAACACAUGCAAGUCGAACGGUAACAUAAAGGAGCUUGCUUCUUUGAUGACGAGUGGCGGACGGGUGAGUAAUGCUUGGGAAUCUAGCUUAUGGAGGGGGAUAACUACGGGAAACUGUAGCUAAUACCGCGUAGAAUCGGGAGAUGAAAGUGUGGGACCUUCGGGCCACAUGCCAUAGGAUGAGCCCAAGUGGGAUUAGGUAGUUGGUGAGGUAAAGGCUCACCAAGCCGACGAUCGCUAGCUGGUCUGAGAGGAUGACCAUCCACACUGGGACUGAGCCGCGGCCCAGACUCCUACGGGAGGCAGCAGUGGGGAAUAUUGGGCAAUGGGGGCAAUCCUGACGCAGCCAUGCCGCGUGAAUGAAGAAGGCCUUCGGGUUGGAAAGUGCUUUUGGUAGCGAGGAAGGCAUUUAGUUUAAUAGACUAGGUGAUUGACGGUAACUACAGAAGAAGCACCGGCUAACUCCGUG